rnacentral:rRNA from 1 species
CCUACGUGAGGCAGCAGUGGGGAAUAUUGCACAAUGGGGGAAACCCUGAUGCAGCAACGCCGCGUGAGUGAAGAAGUAUCUCGGUAUUUAAAGCUCUAUUAGCAGGGAAGAAAAUGACAGUACCUGACUAAGAAGCCCCGGCUAACUACGUGCCAGCAUCCGCGGUCAUACGUAGGGGGCAAGCGUUAUCCGGCUUUACUGGGUGUAAAGGGAGCGUAGACGGCUGCGCAAGUCAGAAGUGAAAGCCCGGGGCUCAACCGCGGGACUGCUUUUGAAACGGUGUAGCGAGAGUGCAGGAGAGGUAAGUGGAAUGCCUGGGGUAGCGGUGAAAUGCGUAGAUAUUAGGAGGAACACCGAUGGCAAAGGCGGCUUACUGGACUGUAACUGACGUUGAGGCUCGAAAGCGUGGGGAGCAAACAGGAUUAGAUACCCGUGUAGUC